CCUACGGGAGGCAGCAGUAAGGAAUAUUGGACAAUGCCCGCAAGGGUGAUCCAGCCAUGCCGCGUGCAGGAAGAAGGCCCUAUGGGUCGUAAACUGCUUUUACACCGGAGAAAACCUCCCUUCGUGAAGGGAGCUGAUAGUAUGGUGAGAAUAAGCAUCGGCUAACUUCGUGCCAGCAGCCGCGGUAAGACGAAGGAUGCAAGCGUUAUCCGGAUUCAUUGGGUUUAAAGGGAGCGUAGGUGGACUGAUAAGUCAGUGGUGAAAUCUUCGAGCUUAACUCGGAAAUUGCCAUUGAUACUGUUAGUCUUGAGUACAGUUGCUGUGGGCGGAAUAUGACAUGUAGUGGUGAAAUACAUAGAGAUGUCAUAGAACACCGAUUGCGAAGGCAGCUCACAAAGCUGUAACUGACACUGAGGCUCGAAAGUGCGGGGAUCAAACAGGAUUAGAUACCCUGGUAGUCCGCACUGUAAACGAUGAUUACUCGCUGCUAGAGGGCAACUUUUAGUGGCUUAGCGAAAGCGAUAAGUAAUCCACCCUGGGGAGUACGCCGGCAACGGUGAAACUCAAAUGAAAUUGAGGCGNGAGAGNGCGAGGACGACGACGAGGGAGGAGG
rnacentral:rRNA from 1 species